rnacentral:rRNA from 1 species
UACGUAGGGUGCAAGCGUUAAUCGGAAUUACUGGGCGUAAAGCGUGCGCAGGCGGUUUUGUAAGUCAGAUGUGAAAUCCCCGGGCUCAACCUGGGAACUGCAUUUGAAACUGCAAGGCUAGAGUGUGUCAGAGGGGGGUAGAAUUCCACGUGUAGCGGUGAAAUGCGUAGAGAUGUGGAGGAAUACCGAUGGCGAAGGCAGCCCCCUGGGAUAACACUGACGCUCAUGCACGAAAGCGUGGGGAGCAAACAGG